AAGCAAAGGUUUAUGAGGCAGCACUAAUUUAUAUAGCAAGCUAGCUAGGUUGAAAAUAGUUUGGUUUUGUAGUAAGUGAGGUGAGGUGCCAAAAUGGUGAAGAUAACUCUUGGUACUUUCGAUGACUCUUUUGGUGUUGCCUCUCUUAAGGCUUAUUUGGCAGAGUUCCAUGCAACUCUGAUUUUCGUGUUCGCUGGUGUUGGUUCAGCCAUCGCUUACAACGAGCUUACAAAAGAUGCAGCCUUGGAUCCAACGGGGCUGGUGGCAGUAGCUGUGGCCCAUGCAUUUGCACUGUUUGUAGGUGUCUCCGUCGCAGCCAACAUCUCGGGUGGCCAUUUGAACCCAGCUGUUACUUUUGGAUUGGCCAUUGGAGGCAACAUCACCCUCAUUACUGGUUUCUUAUACUGGAUUGCCCAGUUGUUGGGUUCCAUUGUGGCAUGCCUCCUCCUCAAUUUCAUCACCGCCAAGAGCAUUCCAAGCCACGCACCGGCAACUGGUGUGAACGAUUUUCAAGCUGUAGUGUUUGAGAUUGUAAUCACAUUUGGGUUGGUUUACACUGUGUAUGCAACUGCAGCAGACCCAAAGAAGGGGUCAUUGGGUAUCAUUGCACCCAUUGCUAUUGGGUUCGUUGUGGGUGCCAACAUCUUAGCAGCAGGCCCAUUCAGUGGCGGUUCAAUGAACCCAGCUCGCUCAUUCGGCCCAGCUGUGGUCAGUGGAGACUUCGCUGCUAACUGGAUCUAUUGGGUUGGCCCAUUGAUUGGAGGAGGUUUGGCUGGCUUGAUUUAUGGAGACGUCUUCAUUGGUUCAUAUGCGGCUGUCCCAGCCUCUGAAACCUACCCUUGAGCUUCAACUUGAAAAAUAUGACUUCUUGUUCUAUUCACUUGUGUGUCCUGUCCCUUCAAGUUUCAUCUUUGUUCCCCGUUUGAUGUCUCGAGCUUCAUGGCUUUUUGCAUUUUUAACUGUACCUUUAUCUAUUAUUCACCGCUUGUAAUAAUUAUGUAAAUUAUAAUUCGAACUUGAUGCAUGGAUUGUUGGAAGGUCCCCUUGUUUUUCGGUUUUCGUCCUACCAAUAAUGACAUCGAGCUAGUGGUUUUUACGGAUCA